GGACGGUGACGAUUAUUGUGAUAAGGUCUCGUUCGUCGUAAUGGGUUCAUAGCCCUUGCCGACCAUUCUGAUAUAUCACCACCCAUAUUCUGAGUCC
rnacentral:snoRNA from 1 species